rnacentral:rRNA from 1 species
GUAGGUGGGGUAACGGCUCACCUAGGCGACGAUCCCUAGCUGGUCUGAGAGGAUGACCAGCCACACUGGAACUGAGACACGGUCCAGACUCCUACGGGAGGCAGCAGUGGGGAAUAUUGCACAAUGGGCGCAAGCCUGAUGCAGCCAUGCCGCGUGUGUGAAGAAGGCCUUCGGGUUGUAAAGCACUUUCAGCGGGGAGGAAGGCGGUAAGGUUAAUAACCUCAUCGAUUGACGUUACCCGCAGAAGAAGCACCGGCUAACUCCGUGCCAGCAGCCGCGGUAAUACGGAGGGUGCAAGCGUUAAUCGGAAUUACUGGGCGUAAAGCGCACGCAGGCGGUCUGUCAAGUCGGAUGUGAAAUCCCCGGGCUCAACCUGGGAACUGCAUUCGAAACUGGCAGGCUAGAGUCUUGUAGAGGGGGGUAGAAUUCCAGGUGUAGCGGUGAAAUGCGUAGAGAUCUGGAGGAAUACCGGUGGCGAAGGCGGCCCCCUGGACAAAGACUGACGCUCAGGUGCGAAAGCGUGGGGAGCAAACAGGAUUAGAUACCCUGGUAGUCCACGCCGUAAACGAUGUCGAUUUGGAGGUUGUGCCCUUGAGGCGUGGCUUCCGGAGCUAACGCGUUAAAUCGACCGCCUGGGGAGUACGGCCGCAAGGUUAAAACUCAAAUGAAUUGACGGGGGCCCGCACAAGCGGUGGAGCAUGUGGUUUAAUUCGAUGCAACGCGAAGAACCUUACCUGGUCUUGACAUCCACAGAACUUUCCAGAGAUGGAUUGGUGCCUUCGGGAACUGUGAGACAGGUGCUGCAUGGCUGUCGUCAGCUCGUGUUGUGAAAUGUUGGGUUAAGUCCCGCAACGAGCGCAACCCUUAUCCUUUGUUGCCAGCGGUCCGGCCGGGAACUCAAAGGAGACUGCCAGUGAUAAACUGGAGGAAGGUGGGGAUGACGUCAAGUCAUCAUGGCCCUUACGACCAGGGCUACACACGUGCUACAAUGGCAUAUACAAAGAGAAGCGACCUCGCGAGAGCAAGCGGACCUCAUAAAGUAUGUCGUAGUCCGGAUUGGAGUCUGCAACUCGACUCCAUGAAGUCGGAAUCGCUAGUAAUCGUAGAUCAGAAUGCUACGGUGAAUACGUUCCCGGGCCUUGUACACACCGCCCGUCACACCAUGGGAGUGGGUUGCAAAAGAAGUAGGUAGCUUAACCUUCGGGAGGGCGCUUACCACUUUGUGAUUCAUGACUGGGGUGAAGUCGUAACAAGGUAACCGUAGGGGAACCUGCGGUUGGAUCACCUCCUUACCUUAAAGAA